rnacentral:rRNA from 1 species
GCUGGCGGCGUGCUUAACACAUGCAAGUCGAACGGAAAGGCCCUUUCGGGGGUACUCGAGUGGCGAACGGGUGAGUAACACGUGGGUGAUCUGCCCUGCACUCUGGGAUAAGCCUGGGAAACUGGGUCUAAUACUGGAUAGGACCAUGGGAUGCAUGUUCUGUGGUGGAAAGCUUUUGCGGUGUGGGAUGGGCCCGCGGCCUAUCAGCUUGUUGGUGGGGUGAUGGCCUACCAAGGCGACGACGGGUAGCCGGCCUGAGAGGGUGUCCGGCCACACUGGGACUGAGAUACGGCCCAGACUCCUACGGGAGGCAGCAGUGGGGAAUAUUGCACAAUGGGCGCAAGCCUGAUGCAGCGACGCCGCGUGGGGGAUGACGGCCUUCGGGUUGUAAACCUCUUUCAGUAUCGGCGAAGCUUGCGGGUUUUCUCGCAGGUGACGGUAGGUACAGAAGAAGCACCGGCCAACUACGUGCCAGCAGCCGCGGUAAUACGUAGGGUGCGAGCGUUGUCCGGAAUUACUGGGCGUAAAGAGCUCGUAGGUGGUUUGUCGCGUUGUCCGUGAAAACUCACAGCUCAACUGUGGGCGUGCGGGCGAUACGGGCAGACUGGAGUACUGUAGGGGAGACUGGAAUUCCUGGUGUAGCGGUGGAAUGCGCAGAUAUCAGGAGGAACACCGGUGGCGAAGGCGGGUCUCUGGGCAGUAACUGACGCUGAGGAGCGAAAGCGUGGGGAGCGAACAGGAUUAGAUACCCUGGUAGUCCACGCCGUAAACGGUGGGUACUAG